GACAGAGGAUGCAAGCGUUAUCCGGAAUGAUUGGGCGUAAAGCGUCUGUAGGUGGCUUUUCAAGUCCGCCGUCAAAUCCCAGGGCUCAACCCUGGACAGGCGGUGGAAACUACCAAGCUGGAGUACGGUAGGGGCAGAGGGAAUUUCCGGUGGAGCGGUGAAAUGCGUAGAGAUGUGGAGGAACACCGAUGGCGAAGGCAGCCCCCUGGGUCAAGAUUGACGCUCAUGCACGAAAGCGUGGGGAGCAAACAGG
rnacentral:rRNA from 1 species